UCAUCGGUGGCUCAGUGGUAGAAUGCUCGCCUGCCACGCGGGCGGCCCCGGGUUCGAUUCCCGGCCGAUGCA
rnacentral:tRNA from 1 species